GUGGGGAAUCUUCCGCAAUGGACGAAAGUCUGACGGAGCAACGCCGCGUGAGUGAAGAAGGUUUUCGGAUCGUAAAGCUCUUUCGUUAGGGACGAACGUGCUCUUUGUGAAUAAUGAGGAGUAAUGACGGUACCUAAAUAAGAAGCCACGGCUAACUACGUGCCAGCAGCCGCGGUAAUACGUAGGUGGCAAGCGUUGUCCGGAAUUAUUGGGCGUAAAGCGCGCGCAGGCGGGAUAUCAAGUCUGUCUUAAAAGUGCGAGGCUCAACCUCGUGAGGGGACAGAAACUGGUAUUCUUGAGUAUCGGAGAGGAAAGUGGAAUUCCUAGUGUAGCGGUGAAAUGCGUAGAUAUUAGGAAGAACACCAGUGGCGAAGGCGACUUUCUGGACGAAAACUGACGCUGAGGCGCGAAAGCCAGGGGAGCGAACGGGAUUAGAAACCCGUGUAGUCC
rnacentral:rRNA from 1 species